rnacentral:rRNA from 1 species
GAUGAACGCUAGCGGCAGGCCUAAUACAUGCAAGUCGAACGGAUAUAUGUUUUUCGGAAUAUAUAUUAAUGGCGCACGGGUGAGUAACACGUACAUAACUUGCCCUCAAGCGGGGGAUAGCCUUGGGAAACUGAGAGUAAUACCCCAUAGAAUUAUUGGACGGCAUCGUUUGAUAAUUAAAACUACGGUGUUUGGGGAUAGAUGUGCGUCUGAUUAGCUAGUUGGUGAGGUAACUGCUCACCAAGGCGACGAUCAGUAGGGGGCGUGAGAGCGUGGCCCCCCACACGGGUACUGAGACACGGACCCGACUCCUACGGGAGGCAGCAGUAAGGAAUAUUGGUCAAUGGAGGGAACUCUGAACCAGCCAUGCCGCGUGAAGGAUGACGGCCCUCUGGGUUGUAAACUUCUUUUGGAUGGGGCGAAAAAACGGGNUUUAUCCUGGACUGACGGUACCAUCAGAAUAAGCACCGGCUAACUCCGUG